GCUAGCUUCGGCAACACAUAUACAAAAAUUGGAACGAUACAGAGGUUAGUGUGGCCCCUGUGCAAGGACGACACGCAAAUUUGUGAAGCGUUCCACGUUUUU
ensembl:snRNA U6 U6 spliceosomal RNA